rnacentral:rRNA from 1 species
CGCAGGGGAGCUAUACAUGCAAGUCGAGCGAACAGACGAGGAGCUUGCUCCUUUGACGUUAGCGGCGGACGGGUGAGUAACACGUGGGUAACCUACCUAUAAGACUGGGAUAACUUCGGGAAACCGGAGCUAAUACCGGAUAAUAUUUCGAACCGCAUGGUUCGAUAGUGAAAGAUGGCUUUGCUAUCACUUAUAGAUGGACCUGCGCCGUAUUAGCUAGUUGGUAAGGUAACGGCUUACCAAGGCAACGAUACGUAGCCGACCUGAGAGGGUGAUCGGCCACACUGGAACUGAGACACGGUCCAGACUCCUACGGGAGGCAGCAGUAGGGAAUCUUCCGCAAUGGGCGAAAGCCUGACGGAGCAACGCCGCGUGAGUGAUGAAGGUCUUCGGAUCGUAAAACUCUGUUAUUAGGGAAGAACAAACGUGUAAGUAACUGUGCACGUCUUGACGGUACCUAAUCAGAAAGCCACGGCUAACUACGUGCCAGCAGCCGCGGUAAUACGUAGGUGGCAAGCGUUAUCCGGAAUUAUUGGGCGUAAAGCGCGCGUAGGCGGUUUUUUAAGUCUGAUGUGAAAGCCCACGGCUCAACCGUGGAGGGUCAUUGGAAACUGGAAAACUUGAGUGCAGAAGAGGAAAGUGGAAUUCCAUGUGUAGCGGUGAAAUGCGCAGAGAUAUGGAGGAACACCAGUGGCGAAGGCGACUUUCUGGUCUGUAACUGACGCUGAUGUGCGAAAGCGUGGGGAUCAAACAGGAUUAGAUACCCUGGUAGUCCACGCCGUAAACGAUGAGUGCUAAGUGUUAGGGGGUUUCCGCCCCUUAGUGCUGCAGCUAACGCAUUAAGCACUCCGCCUGGGGAGUACGACCGCAAGGUUGAAACUCAAAGGAAUUGACGGGACCCGCACAAGCGGUGGAGCAUGUGGUUUAAUUCGAAGCAACGCGAAGAACCUUACCAAAUCUUGACAUCCUUUGACCCUUCUAGAGAUAGAAGUUUCCCCUUCGGGGGACAAAGUGAC